rnacentral:rRNA from 1 species
CCUACGGGAGGCAGCAGUGGGGAAUUUUGGACAAUGGGGGCAACCCUGAUCCAGCAAUGCCGCGUGAGUGAAGAAGGCCUUCGGGUUGUAAAGCUCUUUUGUCAGGGAAGAAAAGGGUCUGGCUAAUAUCCAGAUCUGCUGACGGUACCUGAAGAAUAAGCACCGGCUAACUACGUGCCAGCAGCCGCGGUAAUACGUAGGGUGCAAGCGUUAAUCGGAAUUACUGGGCGUAAAGCGUGCGCAGGCGGUUUCGUAAGUCUGUCGUGAAAUCCCCGGGCUUAACCUGGGAAUGGCGAUGGAGACUGCGAGGCUAGAGUUUGGCAGAGGGGGGUAGAAUUCCACGUGUAGCAGUGAAAUGCGUAGAGAUGUGGAGGAACACCGAUGGCGAAGGCAGCCCCCUGGGUCAAAGCUGACGCUCAUGCACGAAAGCGUGGGGAGCAAACAGGAUUAGAUACCCUGGUAGUCCACGCCCUAAACGAUGUCUACUAGUUGUNGGGUCUUAAUUGACUUAGUAACGCAGCUAACGCGUGAAGUAGACCGCCUGGGGAGUACGGUCGCAAGAUUAAAACUUAAAGGAAUUGACGG